GACGAACGCUGGCGGCGUGCUUAACACAUGCAAGUCGAACGGAAAGGCCCUGCUUUUGUGGGGUGCUCGAGUGGCGAACGGGUGAGUAACACGUGAGUAACCUGCCCUUGACUUUGGGAUAACUUCAGGAAACUGGGGCUAAUACCGGAUAGGAGCUCCUGCUGCAUGGUGGGGGUUGGAAAGUUUCGGCGGUUGGGGAUGGACUCGCGGCUUAUCAGCUUGUUGGUGGGGUAGUGGCUUACCAAGGCUUUGACGGGUAGCCGGCCUGAGAGGGUGACCGGCCACAUUGGGACUGAGGAGCGGCCCAGACCCCUACGGGGGGAAGGAGGGGGGAAUUUUGCAAAAUGGGGGGAGGCAGAAGGAAGAACCGCCGGGGGGGGGAUGGCGGCCUUGGGGUUGUAAACCGCUUUCGCCUGUGACGAAGCGGGGGUGGGGGAAAUGGGUAAAGAAGCCCCGGCUAACUACGG
rnacentral:rRNA from 1 species